GAUGAACGCUGGCGGCGUGCCUAAUACAUGCAAGUCGAGCGAACAGACGAGGAGCUUGCUCCUCUGACGUUAGCGGCGGACGGGUGAGUAACACGUGGAUAACCUACCUAUAAGACUGGGAUAACUUCGGGAAACCGGAGCUAAUACCGGAUAUCAUGUUGAACCGCAUGGUUCAACAGUGAAAGACGGUCUUGCUGUCACUUAUAGAUGGAUCCGCGCCGCAUUAGCUAGUUGGUAAGGUAACGGCUUACCAAGGCAACGAUGCGUAGCCGACCUGAGAGGGUGAUCGGCCACACUGGAACUGAGACACGGUCCAGACUCCUACGGGAGGCAGCAGUAGGGAAUCUUCCGCAAUGGGCGAAAGCCUGACGGAGCAACGCCGCGUGAGUGAAGAAGGUCUUCGGAUCGUAAAACUCUGUUAUUAGGGAAGAACAAAUGUGUAAGUAACUAUGCACGUCUUGACGGUACCUAAUCAGAAAGCCACGGCUAACUACGUG
rnacentral:rRNA from 1 species